rnacentral:rRNA from 1 species
AACGAACGCUGGCGGCAGGCCUAACACAUGCAAGUCGAGCGAAGCCUUCGGGCUUAGCGGCGGACGGGUGAGUAACGCGUGGGAACGUGCCCUUUGCUACGGAAUAGCCCCGGGAAACUGGGAGUAAUACCGUAUGUGCCCUUCGGGGGAAAGAUUUAUCGGCAAAGGAUCGGCCCGCGUUGGAUUAGGUAGUUGGUGGGGUAAUGGCCUACCAAGCCGACGAUCCAUAGCUGGUUUGAGAGGAUGAUCAGCCACACUGGGACUGAGACACGGCCCAGACUCCUACGGGAGGCAGCAGUGGGGAAUCUUAGACAAUGGGCGCAAGCCUGAUCUAGCCAUGCCGCGUGAUCGAUGAAGGCCUUAGGGUUGUAAAGAUCUUUCAGGUGGGAAGAUAAUGACCGUGCCACCAGAAGAAGCCCCGGCUAACUCCGUGCCAGCCGCCGCAGUAA